AUUGAACGCUGGCGGCAGGCCUAACACAUGCAAGUCGAACGAGUGGCGGACGGGUGAGUAAUGUCUGGGAAACUGCCUGAUGGAGGGGGAUAACUACUGGAAACGGUAGCUAAUACCGCAUACCAUCGGAUGUGCCCAGAUGGGAGUAGCUAGUAGGGGGGGUAAAGGAUCACCACGGCGACGAUCCCUAGCUGGUCUGAGAGGAUGACCAUCCACACCGGAACUGCGACACGGUCCAGACGCCUACGGUAUGCAGCAGUGGGGAAUAUUGCACAAGGGGCGCAAGCCUGAUGCAGCCAUGCCGCGUGUAUGAAGAAGGCCUUCGGGUUGUAAAGUACUUUCAUUGGGGAGGCGUUACCCGCAGAAGAAGCACCGGCUAACUCCGUUCCAGCAGCCGCGGUAAUAC
rnacentral:rRNA from 1 species